UACAGAGGGGGCAAGCGUUGUUCGGAAUUACUGGGCGUAAAGGGCGCGUAGGCGGCCUUCUAAGUCGAACGUGAAAUCCCCGGGCUCAACCCGGGAACUGCGUCCGAUACUGGAAGGCUUGAAUCCGGGAGAGGGAUGCGGAAUUCCAGGUGUAGCGAUGAAAUGCGUAGAUAUCUGGAGGAACACCGGUGGCGAAGGCGGCAUCCUGGACCGGCAUUGACGCUGAGGCGCGAAAGCCAGGGGAGCAAACGGG
rnacentral:rRNA from 1 species